CCGUGCUAAGCGGGGGGUUGGUGGUCCCCUGAACCCGAAACCCACCGAGCGGGGCUUAAUUCCUCUGCUAAGGUCUUUGGGGUCUGAAAACGGUUUUUGAUUGGGUGUUGAAAGCUGGGUCCUACGCAACAACUACCUGUGAACCGGGUCAGGUCCGGAAGGAAGCAGCCCUAAGCAGGCAAGUGUGUGCCGUAGGGGUGCCCAGCUGGAGCCUUAAUCAAAAGUACGCUCAGGUCCCAAUUGAUCGAAGCAGGGGUGCACGG
rnacentral:SRP_RNA from 1 species